UCUCCGUUGGUGAACCAGCGGAGGGAUCAUUGCUGGAACUGUGUCCGCAAGGACACAACCCCAGAUACCCUUUGUGAACUUAUUCUUAUAUCGUUGCCUCGGCGCUGAGCUGGGGGCUUCUUUCCAAGGAGCUCUCCCAUGGUCUCUCGGGACGAUGGAGCAAGCCCGCCGGCGGCCCUUCUAAACUCUUGUUUUUAUUACGUAUCUCUUCUGAGUUAUUCAAAACAAAGUGAAUCAAAACUUUCAACAACGGAUCUCUUGGUUCUG
rnacentral:misc_RNA from 1 species